rnacentral:tRNA from 1 species
CGUUAUAGCUUAGUCGGUAGAGCAUUCGAUUCGUAAUCGAAAGGUCGGCGGUCCGAUUCCGCCUAACGG